CUACUCACUGGAGGCUUGUGGAAGGACUUUGGUGACCGGCCACUGGGGAGUCUCCUGAGGCUCCGACAACCCCAGGUCAACGCGUCUCGGGGACCUUCUGGGGGGGGUGGUCUCUGCAGAGGAAAGUGACUCAGGGCAUCUUUUGGGUGUUGAAAAGGUGAUUUUUUUUUCUAGUCUCUCAAAAUCCUUUGUGACGAGGUAGACAACCUCUGCCUGGUGCAGCUGGGAUCGUUCAGGGGACAAAGCCACCUCAUGGUGAAGAGGGACGUUCCUCCUGGCCACGGGGAACAUUCCAGGCGGCAUGGCGGUGGCAGCUUGUCCGCAGGACGGCGUGCUGGGGACCGGAGGACGGAGCUUUGGGCUGGCCAUCCUGCAGGAAGGAG
rnacentral:lncRNA from 1 species